AUGCUGUGCAGUAAGCAUGAUGAUUGGAUGUUCCACACCAUUGUGUGACACGUGCCUCCAUCAAACCUUGUUACCACUUCGGCACAUUACCCAUCUGAUG